CUAGGUCCGUUGACCCACGCGGUAGCCACGCUUGCUUCAGAAACGCAUUGAUAAAGUAGCAAAAGCUAGAUUUUCAGCAAAUACGCACAAGGCGCGCCACUCCUCCGGAAAUCAGAACCUGAAAAUGCGCAGCCAACGUGUCGAGCACUGGCUGAAAGACAUCACUGCUGCCCGCCAACAGCCAAGAACCAGUAGUUGCAGCAGAAGCGCCUUGGUUGUUGUGCCCGUUGCGACUAUGCAACCACAAGGCUUUCUGCUCUCAUCAUACGCUAGUGCAACCACAUGGACAGGAGGUUGCUUCGCCGCUGCUGGUACUGUCCUGGGAGCUUUUCACAGAAGAGCAACUUCCAAGACACACCUGGGCACCCACAGUCGAGUGCCUAUUAACUAAACUGGUUGAUAUCCUUUGUGCAGUGUGAGCAGCUGAGCAGCCACUUGAGCAACUGCACGCUGCCUUUAUAUAUAUGUAAAUAAUAUGAACAGGCACCGUGAAAGCUUGGCACCAUGCAGAACAGGUAACAAGCAAUCUAGGUGCACCUCAUGGAAUAAACAGUUGGAAUUGCGACUGUGCAGUUGCAUUCGAUGUGAACUGCUACACGGUGCCUAUAGUCUAUAGAGCUUCAAGACUGCAUGGCAGCACAGACUUAUGAAACAUUUAACUGAAUACUGUGCCAAUUACUGAUAUUUAUUAAACCAUUGUUUCGUAUAUAUGUGCCAACGUGCACUGCAGUUUUUCAGCCCCUUCGACAAUGCGCACCACGUUCCAGCUCACAUUGAAGACAGCCGCACAUAUAUGUGCAAUGAGCUGUACGAGCACUGCACAGUCUCUUCAAAGGAUAUUUUAGCAGGAUUUAAUGAGGUGUUUUAACGUGUUAGAAUGUUGCCAUGACUGACUGCAGUGUUGAUUAGAGGGGUACUUGUUUUAAUGAGAUUAUGUCUGUUUGAGACCAUGUGGUAUUUCUCUAUGUGACCACAUAAGGAACUUAGACAUGCACAGUAAUGCUUGCUUGGGCUAGUUGGUACAUGAUAGCUGGUGCGAAAUAGACAUGCCACAACCAUAGAAGGAAUGCUAGAAAGAAAAUGGCACAUUUGUUCAUGCAGCAAUGCUAGCACAGCAGGGGCAUAAGAAGACAGAAGAAAGCCACAUAGGUGCAUGUGCCUUUUUUUCUGCCCUGGGCAACUUUGCGCUUGUUUACUCUUGAGUUUAUCAAAGGCUGUGCAUUCAUUAUUGUACCUUAAUGCUAGCCAGGCUAGUUAAUUGUUAACACUUUUGUUUUUCUUUUAGUCUACUUGCAUGUGUGUCACUGGUGUUCAAAAUACAUUUUCACUCUUACUAUAAAAGAUAUUUACAAUUAGGGGUAUCAGUUUGUUAGUGGCUGUAGCUUUGUAAAUAUUUCUGCAUCUGUGAGAUUGGUUCUUUUGGUAUUAUGGUGUGGUGCAUAUGAUGCAAUCUUUGUAUUCUUCAUGUUUUUCUUUUCUCCAAGUUCUGGUACUACUACUGGAAUAUCUUUUUUAUAUUCAGAUCAAGCUUUUUCAUUGUCUACAUCGACAUAAGGGUUUCCUUACAACAAUGGAAUACUUGUGAUUAAGAAUUCAGUCAACACUAUUUCUUCCACAGUGUGAAAUGAAUGAUUGUUUGUAGGGAUGUGCAUUGUUAAUUCUUGUUGAUAUUUGAAUGCUUGCAAUAAUACCAUCUAAUCUCUCAGUUUCAAUAACUCGUAUUAAUUGUGUUACAUGCUCCAACAGAAUUUAGUGGUGGCACCUGAAAGCUGUUUCAUUAUUGCGAUUGAUUGCACUCAUUAUCAUACACUUUUGAGGAAUCUGAAUUUCAAGCGUGAUUUUAUGGUGCAUAUUCUUGUUUCAUUCCUUCACUGGUUCAACUAUAGUACUAGAAGCCCUGUUGCCACAGAUGUACCAUACUUCUCCAGUUAUAUCUGUAUAAAGCCAUAUUUUGGCUGAAUCAUGCAAGAAUAUAUACACUGCACACAAUGCCAUUGUUAGUCCUGCCACAGCCAGCCGAACGACAAAGCUAGUGACCUGCAUGACCGUCAGCUCUAUGAAGAGGCACCAACUAGACUCGAGACAAAAGUCUGACCAGGUGUGUUAUACCUGUCGACAGUAUACGUAACCAGUCGUUGCUGUGCUGACCCAGAGGCAGGUGGUGGGUGCACAUCCCCACUUCAAAGUCAUAUUCGCCGGAGGCUGCAUGGUCUCUUGCUGAGGUGGCUUGAACAUGCUGCGUCAGUGCUGGGCCAAGGUGGACCCAAUGGCUGUCGCGACAACAGAAACUAAAGUUAGAUGGUCAGAUAUCGGGGCAUGUACACUGCUUCCUGCAUGAAAUGGGAGGCCAUGCAAUUUGGUCUACAUGCUGAGUUUGAAUGGUGUGGACAGUGACUGCCAGAGGGACACAAGUGGAGCAGCUUGCCAUUAUGUGAGGAUGCGUACACACCACCUGUAUCUGGGUCAGCGGAGUGAGAACUUGUUGGAUGUACUGUCGACAGAUAUUGCGUGCCUGGCCGCACUUUCAUUGCAAUUUCAGCUGAUGCCCGUUCUUCGCACGUGUGGUCAUGUAGGCUGCUCACUCUCGUGUUCGGUUUAAGGUACAAGUAGCUAGAGUAUGUGGCAAUCUUGUUUUCUUUACUUCAGAGAGAUUUUCCGAAACUUGUACCAGCCUGUGAUUGGAGAGUUCCUAAACACAGACAUGCUCCGAAGAAAUUUUAGUUUAUGAAGUACAAGAAUAUGCUGUGCUUCGCUUACGAUAUUAACACCAUGCAAUAAUGCUUUUGCUUUGGUAAAAUAAACAUGAGAGCACAAGAGUGUUAUAAACCGACUGACCUAUUUAGAUACUGUGUGGAGUACUAGAAGUAUAGCUUAUGCAAUAUAUUUUAUACUAUGCGAUGCCUGUUGUGUUGCAUUCUUUCGUCUUGUAAAAACAAUGGUACGUUACGGCACAUUGCUUGUUGCGUUCUCUACAGUACGCAUCACCGUGGAGUGCAUCAAUGAAGUGCAUCAAUGGGGUGUUUUGCUUGUACUUAGCUAAGGUAGCUGUUGUAUUGCGAGACGACAAUGCUGGGUUACCUUUUUGGAAAUGGUUGCCAUCUUAUUGUUCAGUGUUCAGUGCAUUGUAGCAAGUACUACGUGUGUUCUUUUAUGAUUAUUAUAAAAAAUAUCAUGAAAACAUCCUCAGCACCAUGGCAACUUAGCAUGAAAAGAUUGAUGUAUUUAGCUGAAGCAACAGCAUAUGCAAGCACUACACUGCUCCUCUCACUUCAAUGAUUUUAAAUGUGUAAAGCUUCAUUCUUUAAGAUAGUAUGUUUCAAACCUGUUCAUUAAGCAGUCGUACAUAUAUAACAACAUAAUUUAUAGUAAGCAAUGGAGAAAGGUUGAGAAGCUGUGCUACCCGACACGGUGGCUUAGCGGCUAUGGUGUUGCACUGCUAAGCACGAGGUAGUGAGAUAAAAUCUCGGCUGCGGGGGUCAAAUUUCGAUGGGGACGACAUGCAAAAACUGCCACGUCCCAUGCAUUGGGGGCACGUUAAUAAUCUCCUGGUGGUCAAAAUUAAUUCGGUGUCCCCUACUACAGCAUGCCUUAUAAUCUAAUCAUGGUUUUGGCACGUAAAACAUCGUAAUUCAUUUCAUUGACCAGCUGUGCUUUGUUUUGUCUUUUCUGAGAUCACCCUUGGGGCUGAUGAGAUGAGUAAAAGGCUCAAUAUUAGCUCUAGGACCUGCAUUUUCUGACUUCGGCAUUUCGUAAGUGCAGUUUUCUUUUCAUUGUGCAGGGUCAGUUUAUUCGUCUUCUCCUACAACUGCCGCAGAUGAGAAGUUGCAGCAAGGAUGCAUCCACCACUGUGAUUUCUCUGAAACUGGAAAUCUAUUCUAUGUGAUAGCAUGUCAGGGCCCACUCAGGCUAGCGUUAUGUAAUAGGCAGAGUCAAAAAUAGUGAAUCAACAUAUCUGUGCAGUAUGCUGCAUGGCAUAGUGCUGCAUCAUGAAGCAAGUGAUGAUGUGUUUUUAUAUGUUGAACUGCCAAGUGACUUCACAAGAUGUUUUGGCAGAAUAUAGCAUGUUGCAGGGAUAUUUUUUUUGUACUGAUAGUUCUUCCAUUACACUGACCAUAUUCCUGUGGUAUGCCUUCAUGGAAAGGCACAACAAAGUUAAAGGGAUCAUCUGUCAACUAGGCCUUCAGAACACUUGUGUAUGCAGUAAAAGAGGCAUGAUAAAUUUUGAAUGUUUGGCCAGUCA